rnacentral:rRNA from 1 species
GAUGAACGCUGGCGGCGUGCCUAAUACAUGCCAGUCGAGCGAACAGACGAGGAGCUUGCUCCUCUGACGUUAGCGGCGGACGGGUGAGUCACACGUGGAUAACCUACCUAUAAGACUGGGAUAACUUCGGGAAACCGGAGCUAAUACCGGAUAAUAUAUUGAACCGCAUGGUUCAAUAGUGAAAGACGGCUUUGCUGUCACUUAUAGAUGGAUCCGCGCCGCAUUAGCUAGUUGGUAAGGUAACGGCUUACCAAGGCGACGAGGCGUAGCCGAACUGAGAGGGUGAUCGGCGACACUGGAACUGAGACGCGGUCCAGACUCCUACGGGAGGCAGCAGAAGGGAAUCUUCCGCAGUAGGCGAAAGCCUGACGGAGCAACGCCGCGUGAGUGAUGAAGGUGUUCGGAUCGUAAAACUCUGUUAUUAGGGAAGAACAAAUGUGUAAGUAGCUAUGCACGUCUUGACGGUACCUAAUCAGAAAGCCACGGCUAACUACGUG